GGUGGUUCUCGGGUGAUGCACCGUGAAAUCAGGCUCCCUCCUCUCUGGUUCCAGGUGUGUCACCCAAGAACCACA
rfam:Myotis lucifugus cont2.1355, whole genome shotgun sequence.